rnacentral:rRNA from 1 species
AUUGAACGCUGGCGGCAUGCUUUACACAUGCAAGUCGAACGGGCUGGGGGCAACUCCAGUCAGUGGCGAACGGGUGAGUAAUGCAUCGGAACGUGUCCCGUAGUGGGGGAUAACCCGGCGAAAGCCGGACUAAUACCGCAUAUGCUCUACGGAGGAAAGUGGGGGACCGGCAAGGCCUCACGCUAUGGGAGCGGCCGAUGUCCGAUUAGCUUGUUGGUGGGGUAAGUGGCCUACCAAGGCGACGAUCGGUAGCUGGUCUGAGAGGAUGAUCAGCCACACUGGGACUGAGACACGGCCCAGGACUCCUACGGGAGGCAGCAGUGGGGAAUUUUGGACAAUGGGGGCAACCCUGACCCAGCCAUGCCGCGUGCGGGAAGAA